GCCUCCAUAGCGUAAUUGGUAGCGCAACUGAUUUGUAAUCAGUAGGUUGUCUGUUCGAGUCAGACUGGGGGCACCA
rnacentral:tRNA from 1 species